AGAGUUUGAUCAUGGCUCAGGAUGAACGCUAGACGGCAGGCCUAAUACAUGCAAGACGAACGGUAAGUUGAGUAGCAAUACUUAGCCAAGAGUGUCGUACGGGUGCGUAACACGUAUGCAACCUACCCUAUACAGGAGGAUAGCCUAGGGAAACCUGGAUUAACCCUUCAUAGUAUUAUUGGAUGGCAUCAUUUGAUAGUUAAAACUGAGGUGGUAUAGGAUGGGCAUGCGUCUGAUUAGUUAGUUGGCGGGGUAAUGGCCCACCAAGACGAUGAUCAGUAGGGGUUCUGAGAGGAAGAUCCCCCACACUGGCACUGAGAUACGGGCCAGACUCCUACGGGAGGCAGCAGUAGGGAAUAUUGGUCAAUGGAUGCAAGUCUGAACCAGCCAUGCCGCGUGCAGGAAGAAGGCCUUCUGGGUUGUAAACUGCUUUUGCCAGGGGAUAAAAUUUCCAUGCGUGGAAAACUGAAGGUACCUGGUGAAUAAGCCACGGCUAACUACGUG
rnacentral:rRNA from 1 species